rnacentral:lncRNA from 1 species
UCAAGCGAUACGUUAAGCCGUCAUGUAAAGAACAUGUAAGCCUAAGGAUGAAACAGCGUAGAAAGACAUCAAGGAGGCUGUAUUAGGAUUAGUACGCUUGUUCAAGAUGAAAUUGUUUCGUAAACCUCAAGAACGAGCCGAACGA